rnacentral:rRNA from 1 species
GAUGAACGCUGGCGGCGUGCUUAACACAUGCAAGUCGAACGGAAAGGCCCAAGCUUGCUUGGGUACUCGAGUGGCGAACGGGUGAGUAACACGUGGGUGAUCUGCCCUGCACUUCGGGAUAAGCCUGGGAAACUGGGUCUAAUACCGGAUAGGACGAUGGUUUGGAUGCCAUUGUGGAAAGUUUUUUCGGUGUGGGAUGAGCUCGCGGCCUAUCAGCUUGUUGGUGGGGUAAUGGCCUACCAAGGCGUCGACGGGUAGCCGGCCUGCGAGGGUGUACGGCCACAUUGGGACUGAGAGACGGCCCAGACUCCUACGGGAGGCAGCAGUGGGGAAUAUUGCACAAUGGGCGCAAGCCUGAUGCAGCGACGCCGCGUGGGGGAUGACGGCCUUCGGGUUGUAAACUCCUUUCGCUAGGGACGAAGCGUUUUUGUGACGGUACCUGGAGAAGAAGCACCGGCUAACUACGUG